GCCACGUCAGUGCCGGCGGCCGCGGGAAUACGGAGGGGGUGAUGGUUGGCCGGAAGUAUUGGGCGGAAAGGGCUCGUAGGCGGUGUGGCACGGCGGGAGUGAAAACUCAGGGCUUAACCCUGAGCCUGCUUCCGAUACGGGCAGACUAGAGGUAUGCAGGGGAGAACGGAAUUCCUGGUGUAGCGGUGAAAUGCGCAGAUAUCAGGAGGAACACCGGUGGCGAAGGCGGUUCUCUGGGCAUUACCUGACGCUGAGGAGCGAAAGUGUGGGGAGCGAACAGGAUUAGAUACCCGUGUAGUC
rnacentral:rRNA from 1 species